UACUGGUGAUUUAAUAGCCACUUGUUGACGUGUAAAGGAUAAAAAUUGGGGCGAGAAAAUUAACGCGACUUUUGUCACUUUUCUUCAAAAAGGCGCUGGACAAAACCGCUCACAAUUGUUGUACUGAUACCCGACACAGCAUUUGUGUCCAAUUUUCAUGUAAAGGUAAUUUUGAUGUCUAAGAUUAAAGGUAACGUUAAGUGGUUUAAUGAAUCCAAAGGAUUCGGUUUCAUUACUCCGGAAGAUGGCAGCAAAGACGUGUUCGUACACUUCUCUGCAAUCCAGAGCAAUGGUUUCAAAACCCUGGCUGAAGGUCAGCGCGUUGAGUUUGAAAUCACUAACGGUGCCAAAGGCCCUUCUGCUGCUAACGUCAUCGCUCUGUAAUUCAGACGAGACCAGCAAGAAUUUCAAAACCCGCUCCCUGAGCGGGUUUUUUU
rnacentral:other from 1 species